CGGUAUGAAUGGUAUGUAGCUGGGCAGUUUUCCAAAACCCACCCCGCGGCUGCAUAUCAGGAAGACUGCUAUAAACAAGCGUGCAUGUGUGCAUGGAGCCUGAUAAGUCAAUGAGGAAAGAUAGACACGGAACAGCAACCCAGCCCGAGGAAAUAUGCAGAGCCGGGUAAGCAGAACGAUCUCCAGUGUGCAAAUGAAGAAAUGGAGUCUGAGGUUAAGGUGCUUGCCUGAGAUUACACAGGUGCUUCUUGAUCAUUGUGACAUGUGAUGACACUCUAACUCUCUGGCUAAGGAAUCAUGGUGGACCUUAGAACACUGUGCCGCCCUCCAACUUGACAUCUCCACAGUUCAAGUGUCCCACACGCUAGCUGGGGUUUGGGAAGAAAGGAGAUUUAUGAGACUGUAUGUCCAAGCAAGUGGAAAGUGCGCAAUUCAAAACUCUCCAGCUUUCUAGAAACACAUCUACUUAGAAAAUCAACCAUACCCACAGAAAUAUUUCCAACAUUCUAACUCACAUAUCCUACUUGAUGAGAUGAUUGUCUGGUUUUAUUUAAGCUGAGAUCUAUUUCCUCCCCAAAGGGUGGUGUGUUCUUUGUCUUAUGCCAAGAAAACCAUAAGAAAAAUGCUGACCUAUGAAGGUUACACAUCAUGCUUAAUCACUACUUUAAAUUAAAAUAACAUAAAAUAAAGCAUUCAUUGGGACACUUAGGCAGAACAUACCUUCCCAAGCAACAGACACACCUACUGAGACACCUGAAAUGUCUGAGGAGUCUGGUUCCCAGCUGCAUAUCAAGAGCCAAACCAUGACAUCAGGUCUUGAGCUGUCCUGGAGAAACUUAGGGCAGGGCUGUCAUAGCAGUGUCCACCAACCAGUCUUCCCAAGAGUUGACUUCAUGUUUCAGUACACCAAACCCUUACUAAUAGAUGCCAAGGUUUGCAAUGACCACAGUGAUAAGUCUCCUCCUCUUCCCCACCCUCCAUUCAUGACUUUGGGAUGGAAUACCUGCCUACUUUCCAGUAUUCCAAAAGCUUGCUCCUCAAAGACUGCUUAAAGGUAAGUAUUUAAGCCAGUGGUCGUGGUGAUGGUGGGCGUCAGAACAGGUUUUCUUCUCUCGGCCAAAUGAAAAUCUCUCAAAAACCAUUUCUUACUAUUUUCUGGUCUCUUCCAGUGGGGUAAAGCAGAGAGCACGAGAAGGCCAGACAACAGACCAAGAGAAAAAGAUCACCACUGGAAAGGGGGUUUUAGUAAAGGACUUUCAACAAACUAAAUGGGUUUUCUUAAAGCCUAGGUAUUCCAUAAUACCUUUUGAAGACACACUGUCUCAAAACACUGUCUAAUUCUACCACAAUCCAUUGCUAAUGGGAUAAUUUACCUCUUCUUGUAGGCCUCUGGCAAGAUCUUUCCCUUGUAUUAGAUCCUUCAGUGGCUCUUAGAAUUGGACCCUUACCUCAUUUUCUGGGCUCAUAUCAACCAUCAUCCCCCAGUGCAGUGGUUCUCAGCCAUGGGUAUUUUUGUUCCCCUAAGGGACACUGGCCAAUGUUGGGGAAAGUUUUGGGUUGGCUGGACUGAAGUGGGGGAAAGGGAAUGCUACUGAACAUCCUUCAAAGUGGAAGACGGCCUCUCACUACAAAGAAUUACUUAGCUCAAAUGUUAACAGUGUUGAGAUAUCCUGCUGUACCAAGUCCUUUGUUCUCCAAACAUACCAGACUUUCUCAUAUGCUUUGUGCUUAAACAUAGCCUGUUUCCUUUACCUGGAAUGCCCUGCCCUACUCUAUGUCUAAGAAAUGGCCAUUUAUCAUUCAAGAUCUGACUCAAAAUGUCACCUCCUCUACAGUCCUUUCCAUAUCUCCCAAAGCUGGCUGUUCCUUCUGUACUUGCAGAGUUCCUGGUACGCAUCUCAUUAAAACACUAGCCAUACUACCCCCAAGCCUGUCACCUGCUGCAGGCAAAACCUAAGACUCAUUCAUUGUUCAUCCCUGAGUGUCCAACUGUAAUCAAUUGUUACUUCCUCAGUCACUCAAGGAAUAAAUAGAAAAGUUGCAGAUGCACUUAAGACUCUCCUACAAGGACAUCUAAGAGACAACAUUGUCCUCAACAUCAGAAACAACAACAGCAAAUAUUUAUCAAAUGCCUGUAAUGUAGAUAGGCACUAUAUUAAGCACUGGUGUACAUAUGAACUCAUGUUCAUCCUUUUAACAACCCUGUGAGGUAGGUACUCUUAUCAGCAUUUUUCAGGAAAGGAAACUGAGGACAAGAGAGGUUAAGCCACUUGCCCAAAGUCAUCUGGAAGAGCUGUUAUUUAAACCCGGGUAGUCUGGCUUCAGAACUCAAUUUUCCAACAUUUAUGCCAAGGCAAUUAUACUAACAACCGGUAUUUCAGCCACUCAGAAACUUCUGACAAAUGCAAUGACACAUCUGGAAGGCUAUUACCACCACCUCUUGCGACCCCGCCUAUGAACACUGCUCGCUGGGGUCCCCCGACUCUCCAACCUCUGGGAUGCUUGUGGCAGGAGAAGCAACGUCCUCACAUCGUGGGAAGGCAUUAUGUACCCAGAAGAAUUGUGGUACGGUAAAGAAGACACGAAAGCUGAUGUCCAAAAGUAUCUCUUACCUUG